rnacentral:lncRNA from 1 species
UCUGGCUUCCUAUUUUGGACGGGCUUCUAUUUUGAGACGGCUUCUAUUUGAGACGGGCUUCUAUUUAGAGACGGGCUUCCUAUUAGAGACGUGGCUUCUAUUUAGAGACGGGGCUUCUAUUUAGAGACGGGUUUCUAUUUAGAGACGGGCUUCUAUUUAGAGACGGGCUUCUAUUUAGAGACGGGCUUCUAUUUAGAGACGGGCUUCUAUUUAGAGACGGGCUUCUAUUUAGAGACGGGCUUCUAUUUUGAGGCGGGCUUCUAUUUGAGGCUGGCUUCUAUUUGAGGCAGGUUUCUAUUUCCUUAAUGUACACAACAUAGUUUACAUAGUUCAUUGUUAGUACCAACAAAGUUCAUAGUUCAACUCCACCAUUCAUUUCCUGCACUAAUGUGUUAUCAUUUACACACUGUCACAUUUAUUUUGUCUUAGUAUGCCUCAAAAACAUAAACAACUUUUCCUUGACUGAAUAAUUAUACUCUUUUUCUGUAUUUUCGUCAGUUCUUACUUUCGCCACUUGAGGGCGAUCACUUAAUUGCUGGGGGUCUGUACUCCCAAAGUUGACUGUUUUCGUGCUUACCAGGCUUCUAUUUAUUUAUUUGCCAGUUAGCUAGCAGUUCCCAGCUGUUAGCAGCCAAUGGCUAGCAGUUCUCAGCUGUUAGCAGCCAAUGGCUAGCACUUCUGUAGAUAAAAAUUGUCGUAAUUUUUUUUGUCAUUCCUGAAUUAUUUAAUGUAACAAGUCAAACAUUAAACCUUGUAAACAAUUGAUGGUAACAAAUCAUUUAGACCAGGCGUUUAUCUGAAACAGGUGUUUACUUGCUGAAAUGCCAUUGCUCGGCUAUUAAUAGGGACAGGAGGAUAUUUGAGACUUGCCGUUAAAGGUUUGGUCCCAUGUUUCAUGAGCUGAAAUAAAAGAUCCCAGAAAUGUUAUGGUGUAAGCAGGCAUAAGCUACAGACUACGAACACAAUUGAAAUUUGUCAAUGGCAAUUUGAAUGAACAGAGAUACCGUGACGAGAUCCUAAGGCCCAUUGU